AUUGAACGCUGGCGGCAGGCCUAACACAUGCCAGUCGAGCGGAUGAAGGGAGCUUGCUCCUGGAUUCAGCGGCGGACGGGUGAGUAAUGCCUAGGAAUCUGCCUGGUAGUGGGGGAUAACGUCCGGAAACGGGCGCUAAUACCGCAUACGUCCUGAGGGAGAAAGUGGGGGAUCUUCGGACCUCACGCUAUCAGAUGAGCCUAGGUCGGAUUAGCUAGUUGGUGGGUUAAAGGCCUACCAAGGCGACGAUCCGUAACUGGUCUGAGAGGAUGAUCAGUCACACUGGAACUGAGACACGGUCCAGACUCCUACGGGAGGCAGCAGUGGGGAAUAGUGGACAAUGGGCGAAAGCCUGAUCCAGCCAUGCCGCGUGUGUGAAGAAGGUCUUCGGAUUGUAAAGCACUUUAAGUUGGGAGGAAGGGCAGUAAGUUAAUACCUUGCUGUUUUGACGUUACCAACAGAAUAAGCACCGGCUAACUUCGUG
rnacentral:rRNA from 1 species